UGAUGGCUUGUGAAACAAAACCAAGACUUACUACGAGUGGAUAUGCCAUUAUCUGAGAUCCAGAACAUUCCUUGGACCUGGCCUUGUGGAUGUCACGUAAGGGGAGAUCUAUACAACCUGGCAUUUGGCCGUGGCUUCCAGGACAGGCUGGAUGCAGAGUGAAGUCCUCUCCUCACUGUAAAUGUUUGCAGAUGUCUUCUUGUAUAAACUUCGUAUUUCUUGAGACUUUCAGUUAGGUUUUUACUUAACUGGACUUUUAAAAUUGCCAUGCACAUAACUCUACCAGUUACAAUCGUGAGCUAACAUGGGUUUUUGGUUUUUGGUUUUACUUUGAUGAAUGUUUAAUAUUUGCAUGCUAGAUGUGGGGGUGGAGGUCAUUUAUCUGCUUUUCAUUGCCUUCUGGGUUAUACUUAGUGACUUUCAGGUAAGGUGUGGAAGGCAUGCUACAGGAUGAAUUGCAGGCUGCACUGUGGCAUCAUGGAGGACAGGCGCGGGCUGUAGUGGUGUGUAUAGUGGAUGAGAGACAAGAGACUUCCAUCCUCGAGGGGAACACAAAAAUUUAAAAA
rnacentral:lncRNA from 10 species